CACGGGGGGAGCAAGCGUUGUUCGGAAUCACUGGGCGUAAAGGGCGUGUAGGCGGGUCUUUAAGUCAGGGGUGAAAUCCUGGAGCUCAACUCCAGAACUGCCUUUGAUACUGAAGAUCUUGAGUUCGGGAGAGGUGAGUGGAACUGCGAGUGUAGAGGUGAAAUUCGUAGAUAUUCGCAAGAACACCAGUGGCGAAGGCGGCUCACUGGCCCGAUACUGACGCUGAGGCACGAAAGCGUGGGGAGCAAACAGG
rnacentral:rRNA from 1 species